GAGCCGGCCGGGUGGCCGCGGCGUGGUUUCCACGCUGAGGAAGGUCGGGGCUCCGCAGGGCAGGAUGCUGGCUAGCGGCCAGUCGGGGCGACCCGCAGGAAAGUGCCACAGAGAACAGACCGCCGAUGGCCCGGCCCCUUGGGAUCGGGCACAGGUGAGGGUGAAACGGUGCGGUAAGAGCGCACCAGCGGCCAGGGCGACCUGGCCGGCUAGGCAAACCCCAUCCGGAGCAAGGCCGAACAGGGAGAGGGCUGCCCGCCCGCUGACACUCCCGGGUAGGCCGCACAGAUGGAUGGUCACCCAUCCGGACUCCCGCAAGGGGCCGGUGGACAGAACCCCGCCUAUAGGCCGGCUCA
rnacentral:RNase_P_RNA from 1 species